UAACACAUGCAAGUCGAACGGGACUGGGGGGGCAACUCUCCAGUUGAGUGGCGGACGGGUGAGUAACACGUGGGUAACCUGCCCGGAAGUGGGGAAUACCUCGGGGAAACUCGAGCUAAUACCGCAUGACAUCUUCGGGACGAGAGUCCUGUUGAUCAAAGCGGGGUCGCAAGAUCUCGCGCUACCGGAUGGGCCCGCGCCCGAUUAGCUAGUUGGUGAGGUAACGGCUCACCAAGGCUUCGAUCGGUAGCCGGCCUGAGAGGGCGAUCGGCCACACCGGAACUGAGACACGGUCCGGACUCCUACGGGAGGCAGCAGUGGGGAAUCUUGCGCAAUGGGCGAAAGCCUGACGCAGCAACGCCGCGUGGAGGAUGAAGGCCCUUGGGUUGUAAACUCCUGUCGGCUGGGAAGAAAUCGCGCGGGGCUCAUACCUCCGCGCGUUGACUGUACCAGCAAAGGAAGCCCCGGCUAACUCUGUGCCAGCAGCCGCGGUAAUACAGAGGGGGCUAGCGUUAUUCGGAAUUAUUGGGCGUAAAGGGCGCGUAGGCGGCCACGCGUGUCUUUCGUGAAAUCCCUCGGCUUAACUGAGGACGUGCGGAAGAAACUGCGAGGCUCGAGUCCGGGAGAGGGGGGUGGAAUUCCCAGUGUAGCGGUGAAAUGCGUAGAUAUUGGGAGGAACACCGGUGGCGAAGGCGGCCCCCUGGACCGGUACUGACGCUGAGGCGCGAAAGCGUGGGUAGCAAACGGGAUUAGAUACCCCGGUAGUCCACGCCGUAAACGAUGGGCACUUGGUGUCGCGGGUAUCGACCCCUGCGGUGCCGAAGCUAACGCAUUAAGUGCCCCGCCUGGGGGAGUACGGUCGCAAGGCUGAAACUCAAAU
rnacentral:rRNA from 1 species